UACGUAGGGUGCAAGCGUUGUCCGGAAUUAUUGGGCGUAAAGAGCUCGUAGGCGGUUUGUUGCGUCGGCUGUGAAAUCCCGAGGCUCAACCUCGGGUCUGCAGUCGAUACGAGCAAACUAGAGUGUUGCAGGGGAGACUGGAAUUCCUGGUGUAGCGGUGAAAUGCGCAGAUAUCAGGAGGAACACCGGUGGCGAAGGCGGGUCUCUGGGGCAUUAACUGACGCUGAGGAGCGAAAGCCAUGGGGAGCGAACAGG
rnacentral:rRNA from 1 species